UUAUUCUUUUCUUUUCUUUGUCUUAUGUUUUGAUUAAUUCAAAACACAACGUUGUGAUUUUAAUUAGUUUUCUGUUCUUGCCAAUCAUGUGAAAGAAAAGAAUACAAUAAUUGGUUUGUUUUACAAAUAAUCAAAAUUGAGUAAUUCUAUGUGGUAAAAUCAAGUAGAAUAAUUGACUGCGAUUAAGCAAAUUAUGACUAUGUUUUGGUUCUUGAGAUAAUUAUGGUCAAUUCCUUAAUUUAAGCUUUCUUGAAUUUUUGUUGUUAGUCUGCUUAAAUAUAUUAUGCUUGUAUUACUUGCCUUAUAUGCAAAACUCUCAAGAAAAAGACUGUAUUUUAGUACAAGUUAAGAGCUAUGUAGAACGGACAAUACGGGAAAAUGGGGAAUUUGGACACGGAUAUGACGAGAUGAGGUUAUUUUAAGGUUUCCUAUGGUCACAAUGAAGUUUCGUGUCUGAAACACCAAGUUUCUGACAAGUUUCUCAAACGAAAAAUGUUGAUUGAAUGAAGUGUUGGUGCUAUUUAGGUUAAGAGGGAAAUGGUUGAAUUUGAAAGAAUGAAAAAUAAUUGCAGCAAUUCACAUUUCCAUGAUGAACAAAAUCCUACCAAAGAGAAAUCCACCGCAAACGACGUGUUUGUUUAUCACUGUAUGUCUUCCUCAAGAGCUUGUCUAUAUUAUGAAAUCCAUAAACAUAUUUCCUGCUGCUAUUGCAUUUUUCUCUUGCUACUUAUGAUAAAUUUAUCAUACUUUUUGAAAUUCUUUUAAGACAUAAUCAGUAAGUUCACAUAGAAAGUUCUUGUACUUGUCCAAAUACCAACAGCUUGCCUGUUUUUUGUGAUAAUAUCGAUGACCUUAUGACGCAGCUGAGAUAAUUGGCAUCAGAAUCAAAUAUAGUGGGUUGGAGAUCCGUCUCACAAAGCUCAGAAAAUGCCUAGAGAACGAGGUUUUUGCGACUUACCUAGUCGUGCAGUAGGCAAUGUUUUGGAUGAAUUCUUUUAUGUUUUGGUUAUGGCCCAUGUGUUAGCUGCAUGUCCCAUGAGUUAUCUAUACAUUCUAGUUUUGCAGCUGGAACACAAAAUAAGAGGACCUGCUUUACUCUACUCAACCUUUCCAACAGUCGAUACCCUUAGCUGAGAUGGUAGACUUCUUAUUCGACAUAUGGCUUGAGGAAAGCCUCUACGACUACAUGUUUUGAAAAUAACUGCAGUUUACUGCAUGAUUUUUGUUGUUGCAGAUUGAUGGGAUUAAGCAAAUUUGUAAGUUUUGUUUAUAUAUAGCUCAAAUUCAUUGAAUGGUGCAUAACCUAUUGGUUCAAUUUGUUUUUAUAAUGUCAUAUAUAAACGGAAUUGAACUUACCGGUUCAAUUCCUUUAUUAGACUU